AAAGCAUUUUUUCAAAUGUCUACCUGUUAUAUACCUGUUAUGAGUAUAACCACAAAUAUCACAAGAGGAUAUGUGUAUAAGGAAAAAUAAAAAGGAAAAACAAAGAUGGGCGUGAAAGUUCAUGUUGAAUAUUGUAGCGGGUGAGGUUACGCAGGCAAGUAUGAGGCGCUUCGUGGGCGCAUCCUUGCCGAGGUACCUGGUGCUGACGUCGUAGGGUCAAAGGGUCGCAGAACUUCAUUUGAAAUUACGAUCAAUGAUAAAGAGGUUUUUUCUAAAUUGAAGUUGAAAGGUUGGCCAAUCGAAGAGGAUUUGAUUGAGGUUAUACGGCAAGCUGAUCGUGGCAUGGAACCAAAAGAAUUAUCAACGUGCAGGAAAGCUAGUUGUGUCAUUUGUUAAACCAGGAUCUGAUUAAAAGACGGACAUCAAAAUAUUUGUAAAAUGUAAAACAAAAAUUCUACUCGCAUUUGCCAUAAUGAUUCAUAUCCUCAUUAAACGAAAGAAGAUGUAAAAACCAAACACUUAAACAAACGAAAUAAAAAAGUGGAACUCUUAAUAAAAAAAACAACAACAACAAAUUGAAUAUUUAAUCUUUUUUUUACUAAACGGAAACGUUACGACACAAGGCAAUAAUUCUUUUUUAAAUAAAUUAGUUGAAGGCUAUUGGGAAAUAAAUUAUUUUGAUAAGUGAUAAAAUAGUAUUUUAAAAUGAUAACAGGAUUUUUCUCAAAAUCGUGAAAAUAAAAAUCGCAUUUAAGUCUAAAAUGACAAAAUCGCAAUAAUAAAUGCACGCAAUAAUUUCUAAAUUUACAGUAGUAGAGAAAUAAGUUGGUGAUCAAUUUAAGUGAACAACCACCACAUUAAACAAAACUAGAAUUAGUUCAAAAUCUGAACAAGACGAAAAUAAUCGUCAUUAAAGCUGAAAGUAAAAUUAAUGAAAUGUUCAUUAAAAAGUCGAGUACACCGUUCAUAUUUUUGAUUUUUUGAAGCUAUCAUUUUAUCAACAAAUGAAAACAGUGGUAAAAAGCGAUGAAGCCACAGUUUGAUGUAGACUUGAAGGAUGAUAGGUUUCUUAAUCAAUCACCAAUAAGAUCGUUCUGUAUUGGGACUCAAAAUUAUUAAAGACAUUAAAAUUGAAAGUAUU